rnacentral:rRNA from 1 species
UGUGUAGGCGGUUCUCUAAGUCUGGUGUGAAAUCUCCCGGCUCAACUGGGAGGGUGCGCCGAAAACUGGAGGACUAGAGUGCGGGAUGGGAGAGUGGAAUUCCUGGUGUAGCGGUGAAAUGCGUAGAUAUCAGGAGGAACACCUGUGGUGUAGACGGCUCUCUGGACCGCAACUGACGCUGAGACACGAAAGCGUGGGUAGCAAACA